rnacentral:rRNA from 1 species
CAUGCAAGUCGAACGCACUCUCGUUUGGAUUGAAGGAGCUUGCUCCUGAUUGAUAUACAUUUGAGUGAGUGGCGGACGGGUGAGUAACACGUGGGUAACCUGCCCUAAAGUGGGGGAUAACAUUUGGAAACAGAUGCUAAUACCGCAUAAAACCUAACACCGCAUGGUGUAGGGUUGAAAGAUGGUUUCGGCUAUCACUUUAGGAUGGACCCGCGGUGCAUUAGUUAGUUGGUGAGGUAAAGGCUCACCAAGACCGUGAUGCAUAGCCGACCUGAGAGGGUAAUCGGCCACACUGGGACUGAGACACGGCCCAGACUCCUACGGGAGGCAGCAGUAGGGAAUCUUCCACAAUGGACGAAAGUCUGAUGGAGCAACGCCGCGUGAGUGAAGAAGGUUUUCGGAUCGUAAAACUCUGUUGUUGGAGAAGAAUGUAUCUGAUAGUAACUGAUCAGGUAGUGACGGUAUCCAACCAGAAAGCCACGGCUAACUACGUGCCAGCAGCCGCGGUAAUACGUAGGUGGCAAGCGUUGUCCGGAUUUAUUGGGCGUAAAGCGAGCGCAGGCGGUUUCUUAAGUCUGAUGUGAAAGCCUUCGGCUCAACUGAAGAAGUGCAUCGGAAACUGGGAAACUUGAGUGCAGAAGAGGACAGUGGAACUCCAUGUGUAGCGGUGAAAUGCGUAGAUAUAUGGAAGAACACCAGUGGCGAAGGCGGCUGUCUGGUCUGUAACUGACGCUGAGGCUCGAAAGCAUGGGUAGCAAACAGGAUUAGAUACCCUGGUAGUCCACGCCGUAAACGAUGAGCGCUAGGUGUUGGAGGGUUUCCCCCCUUCAGUCCCGCAGUUAACCCAUUAAGCAUUCCCCUUGGGGAGUCCGCCCCCAAGGUUGAAAUUCAAAGGAAUUGAGGGGGGCCCCCCCAAGCGGUGGACCAUGUGGUUUAUUUGGAAGCAACGCGAAGACCCUUACCAGGUCUUGACAUCCUUUGACCACUCUAGAGAUAGAGCUUUCCCUUCGGGGACAAAGUGACAGGUGGUGCAUAGUUGUCGUCAGCUCGUGUCGUGAGAUGUUGGGUUAAGUCCCGCAACGAGCGCAACCCUUAUUAUUAGUUGCCAGCAUUUAGUUGGGCACUCUAGUGAGACUGCCGGUGACAAACCGGAGGAAGGUGGGGACGACGUCAAAUCAUCAUGCCCCUUAUGACCUGGGCUACACACGUGCUACAAUGGAUGGUACAACGAGUUGCGAGCCCGCGAGGUUUAGCUAAUCUCUUAAAACCAUUCUCAGUUCGGAUUGUAGUCUGCAACUCGCCUACAUGAAGCCGGAAUCGCUAGUAAUCGCGGAUCAGCAUGCCGCGGUGAAUACGUUCCCGGGCCUUGCACACACCGCCCGUCA